rnacentral:rRNA from 1 species
AUAAGGGCAUUUGGUGGAUGCCUUGGCGCUGAGAGGCGAUGAAGGACGUACUACGCUGCGAUAAGCCGCGAGGAGCUGCGAAGAAGCUUUGAUCCGCGGAUUUCCGAAUGGGGAAACCCACCUUCGAUAACGGAAUUCUGAGUCUCUUACUCGCGAGAGUGGGGGAUUUGGAUUUCCGUUAUCACAUGAAGGAAUAAGACCUCCGAAUAAAAUAGGAGGUUUUAAGCUAACCCGGAGAACUGAAACAUCUCAGUACCCGGAGGAAAGGACAUCAACCGAGACUCCGCUAGUAGUGGCGAGCGAAAGCGGACCAGGCCAGUGAUAAUCCCAAGACAACCGGAAGCGUCUGGAACGACGCGCCUUAGCGGGUGACAGCCCCGUACGGGUAACGCGAAGGAUUAUCCUCGAGUAAGGCGGGACACGUGAAAUCCUGUCUGAACAUGGGGGGACCACCCUCCAAGCCUAAGUACUCCUCAGCGACCGAUAGUGAACCAGUACCGUGAGGGAAAGGUGAAAAGCACCCCGACGAGGGGAGUGAAAGAGACCUGAAACCGAAUGCCUACAAACAGAUGGAGCUCAAGGUUCGUCCUGAGUGACAUCGUACCUUUUGUAUAAUGGGCCAGCGACUUAAUUUGACGAGCAAGCUUAAGCCGAUAGGCGUAGGCGCAGCGAAAGCGAGUCUGAAUAGGGCGUCCAAGUUCGUCGGAUUAGACCCGAAACCUAGUGAUCUAGCCAUGGUCAGGUUGAAGGUGGGGUAACACCUACUGGAGGACCGAACCGGUGUCUGUUGAAAAAGCCUCGGAUGAACUGUGGCUAGGGGUGAAAGGCCAACCAAACUGGGAAAUAGCUGGUUUUCCGCGAAAGAUAUUUAGGUAUCGCCUCGCGUGAAUGCUUUGGGGGGUAGAGCACUGGAUGGGCUAGGGGGACUUACCGUCUUACCAAACCUAACCAAACUCCGAAUACCCAUGAGUACUAUCCGGGAGACACACGGUGGGUGCUAACGUCCAUCGUGGAGAGGGAAAAAACCCUGACCAACAGCUAAGGCCCCUAAUUCGUGGCUAAGUGUGAAAGGAUGUGGGAAUCCCAUAACAACCAGGAGGUUGGCUUAGAAGCAGCCAUCCUUUAAAGAAAGCGUAACAGCUCACUGGUCUAAUUAAGGGUUCCUGCGCCGAAAAUGUAACGGGGCUCAAGCCACGAGCCGAAGCUUUGGGUGUGCACGCAAGUGUACGCGGUAGCGGAACGUUCUGUAAGCCCGUGAAGGGAGACCCGUGAGGGCUCCUGGAGGUAUCAGAAGUGCGAAUGCUGGCACGAGUAACGAAAAACAGUGUGAAAGACACUGUCGCCGAAAGUCCAAGGGUUCCUGCGUAAAGCUAAUCUGCGCAGGGUUAGCCGGUCCCUAAG